rnacentral:rRNA from 1 species
AACGCAGCGAAGGGCGAUACGUAAUGUGAAUUGCAGAAUUCAGUGAAUCAUCGAAUCUUUGAACGCACCUUGCGCCCCUUGGCAUUCCGAGGGGCACACCCGUUUGAGUGUCGUGAAAUCAUCAAAAAUCUUUUUCUUUGAAAAGGAUUUUUGGACUUGGAGGUUUCAUGCUUGCUUUUGCCUUUGAAAGCGAGCUCCUCUGAAAUAAAUUAGUGGGGGUCCGCUUUGCUGAUCCUUAAUGUGAUAAGAUGUUUCUACGUUUUGGAUUUAGCACUGUCCCUUGGACGCCUGCUCCUAACUAGUUGUCCCUUGGACAAUGAUGGUGCUCCUGGUCACCGCCAUCCACAUUGGCGGGAGGCUGGACCCACAAAAGAAAAACCUUGACCUCAAAUCGGGUGAGACUACCCGCUGAACUUAA